UGAAUACGAGAUGCUACGGCAUUGAAGCAGUGUAUGUCAGACUUCCAAGAAAAGCUCGCAAUGUCAUAAACAAUAAAUGCCUGUACCAUAACCGACACAGGUGGGUAGGUAGAGUAUACUAAGGGGCGCGAGAUAACUCUCUCUAAGGAACUCGGCAAAAUGACUCCGUAACUUCGGGAGAAGGAGUGCCUUAUUUUAUAAGGUUGCAAUAACAAGAUCCAAGCAACUGUUUACCAAAAACACAGGUCUCCGCUAAGUCGAAAGACGAUGUAUGGGGGCUGACGCCUGCCCAGUGCCAGAAGGUUAAAGAAGUUGGUUAGCUUCGGCGAAGCUGAUGACUGAAGCCCUGGUGAACGGCGGCCGUAACGAUAACGGUCCUAAGGUAGCGAAAUUCCUUGUCGGGUAAGUUCCGACCCGCACGAAAGGCGUAAUGAUUUGGAUACUGUCUCGGAGAGGGGCUCGGUGAAAUAGACUUGUCUGUGAAGAUGCGGACUACCUGCACCUGGACAGAAAGACCCUAUGAAGCUUUACUGUAACUUGAGAUUGAAAUUGGACUUUAUUUGCGCAGUAUAGGUGGGAGACGUUGAGAAUACUCUUGCGGGAAUAUUGGAGUCAUCAGUGAGAUACCACUCUUGUAAUGUUAGAUUUCUAACUUUGUAUCAUUAUCUGGUCAAAGGACAGUUUCAGGCGGGCAGUUUGACUGGGGCGGUCGCCUCCUAAACGGUAACGGAGGCGCACAAAGGUUUCCUCUGAACGUGUAGAAAUCGUAUCUAGAGUGUAAAGGCAUAAGGAAGCUUGACUGUGAGACCUACAAGUCGAGCAGGGACGAAAGUCGGUCUUAGUGAUCUGACGGUGCUGAGUGGAAAGGCCGUCACUCAACGGAUAAAAGUUACUCUAGGAUAACAGGCUGAUCUCCCCCAAGAGUUCACAUCGACGGGGAGGUUUGGCACCUCGAUGUCGGCUCAUCGCAUCCUGGGGCGGUAGUACGUCCCAAGGGUUGGGCUGUUCGCCCAUGAAAGCGGUACGCGAGCUGGGUUCAGAACGCCGUGAGACAGUUCGGUCCAUAUCCGGUGUAGGCGUUAGAAUAUUGAGAGGAGCCUUCUUUAGUACGAGAGGACCGAGAAGGACAUACCUCUGGUGUACCAGUUAUCGUGCCAACGGUAAACGCUGGGUAGCUAUGUAUGGAGUGGAUAACCGCUGAAAGCAUCUAAGUGGGAAGCCCACCUCAAGAUAAG
rnacentral:rRNA from 1 species